AGCUUGGAUUAAUGCCGCAUAGUAUAGUGAUAUCUCCUGAGAUUAAUAUUAAACAUUUAUGGCCAUUAGAUGGGUAUGCGUCCUAGUAGUUAGUUAGUAAGGUUACGGCUUACCAAGGAUACGAUAGGUACGGGUACUGAGAGUGAGAUCCCCCACACUGGUACUGAGACACGGACGAGACUCCUACGGGAGGCAGCAGUGAGGCAUUUUGGACAAUGCGCGAGAGCCUGAUCCAGCCAUGCCGCGUGCAGGAAGACUGCCCUAUGGUUUGUAGACUGCUUAUAUACGGGAAGAACCGCACCGUCGUGAGGGUGUUUGACGGUACCGUAAGAAUAAGGAUCGGCUAACUCCGUGCCAGCAGCCGCGGUAAUACGGAGGAUCCAAGCGUCAUCCGGAAUCAUUGGGUUUAAAGAGUCCGUAGGCGGGAUAAUCAGUCAGUGGUGAAAGUCUGAGCUUAACUGUAGAAUUGCCAUUGAUACUGUUAUCCUUGAGUGAUUAUGAAGUGGUUAGAAUGUGUAGUGUAGCGGUGAAAUGCAUAGAUAUUACGCAGAAUACCGAUGGCGAAGGCAGAUCACUAAUAAUACACUGACGCUGAUGGACGAAAGCGUACGUAGCGAACAGGAUUAGAUACCCUGGUAGUCUACGGCGUAAACGAUGGUUACUAGCUGUUCGGAUCGAUUGAGAUCUGAGUGGAUAAGCGAUAGUGAUAAGUAAUCCACCUGGGGAGUACGUUCGCAAGAAUGAAACUCAAAGGAAUUGACGGGGGCCCGCACAAGCCGUGGAGGAUGUGGUUUAAUUCGAUGAUACGCGAGGAACCUUACCAGGGCUUCAGU
rnacentral:rRNA from 1 species